CAAGGGAGUUCAGAUAAGAAUUUCCAAUCUGUGAGUCUGAGGUUAAUUACUUUUCUACUCUGUCGCUGUAUUUUCCAAACAUAAUGUUGUCCAUUAAGUCACUGACCACAGUGUUCUGAUUUUCACAUUUUAAACUGAAAUCCUGUACUGACAAUAUCAGAGGUCAGUGUACAGAGUGUGUGUGUGUGAGUGUGUGUGUGUGUGUGUGUGAGGGAUUUACUGGAAAGUUCAGAUAAGAAACUUUGCCAGAUGUUUGGAGACUAGACACAUGGAUUUAAAAGAACACACACAAUCACUGUGCAGCAGUACAAAUAAACUGAUACGUGUGACAUGCAUAAAUAAAAUAUAAAAUACCUUUACAAGCAUCACUAUAGCACAAGACCUGCACAAAACAACGAUAUCUGACACACGUGUUAAAGUGGUUAAAGUAGUAAAAGUAGUAAAAGUGGUAAAAGUAAAAAAGCGGUUAAAGUGAUAAAAGUAGUAAAAGUGGUUAAAGUAGUAAAAUUGGUUAAAGUAGUAAAAGUGGUUAAAUUAGUUAAAGUGGUAAAAGUAAUAAAAGUAGUAAAAGUGGUUAAAGUAGUAAAAGUAGUAAAAGUGGUUAAAUUAGUUAAAGUGGUAAAAGUGUUAAAAGUAGUAAAAGUACUUAAGGUGGUAAAAGCGGUGAAAGUAGUUACUGUAAAGUAGUUAAAGCGGUAAAAGUAUUAAAAGUAGUUAACAUGGUAAAAGUGGCGAAAAGUCCUAAAAUAGUUAAAGUGGUAAAAGUAGUUAAAGUAGUUAAACUAUUAAAAGUAGUAAAAGUAGUUAAAGCGGUUUAAGUGGUUAAAGUAGUUAGUAACAGUGGUAAAAGUAGUAAAAGUAGUAAAAGCGGU
ensembl:lncRNA